rnacentral:rRNA from 1 species
GAUGAACGCUGGCGGCGUGCCUAAUACAUGCAAGUCGAGCGAACAGACGAGGAGCUUGCUCCUCUGACGUUAGCGGCGGACGGGUGAGUAACACGUGGAUAACCUACCUAUAAGACUGGGAUAACUUCGGGAAACCGGAGCUAAUACCGGAUAACAUGUUGAACCGCAUGGUUCAACAGUGAAAGACGGUCUUUCUGUCACUUAUAGAUGGAUCCGCGCCGCAUUAGCUAGUUGGUAAGGUAACGGCUUACCAAGGCAACGAUGCGUAGCCGACCUGAGAGGGUGAUCGGCCACACUGGAACUGAGACACGGUCCAGACUCCUACGGGAGGCAGCAGUAGGGAAUCUUCCGCAAUGGGCGAAAUCCUGACGGAGCAACGCCGCGUGAGUGAAGAAGGUCUUCGGAUCGUAAAACUCUGUUAUUAGGGAAGAACAAAUGUGUAAGUAACUAUGCACGUCUUGACGGUACCUAAUCAGAAAGCCACGGCUAACUACGUG